GAUCAUGGCUCAGGAUGAACGCUAGCUACAGGCUUAACACAUGCAAGUCGAGGGGCAGCAUCAUCAAAGCUUGCUUUGAUGGAUGGCGACCGGCGCACGGGUGAGUAACACGUAUCCAACCUGCCGACAACUCUGGGAUAGCCUUUCGAAAGAAAGAUUAAUACCGGAUGGCAUAGUCUUCCCGCAUGGGAUGAUUAUUAAAGAAUUUCGGUUGUCGAUGGGGAUGCGUU
rnacentral:rRNA from 1 species